rnacentral:tRNA from 1 species
GUAACUUUAACUCAGUUGGUAGAGUAUCACACUUUUAAUGUGAGAGUCAUGGGUUCAAAUCCCAUAAGUUACA